rnacentral:rRNA from 1 species
UGCAGUCGAGCGAGGAGAGGGCUUCGGCCCUCGAUUCGAGCGGCGAAAGGGUGAGUAAUGCAUGGGCAAUCUACCCGCGAGUCCGGGACAACUACUGGAAACGGUAGCUAAUACCGGAUAGCCCAGGACGAAGGCAUCUUCGACCUGGUAAAGGGGGGGACCUUCGGGCCUCUCACUCGCGGAGGAGCCUAUGUCCUAUCAGCUUGUUGGUGGGGUAACGGCCUACCAAGGCAAUGACGGGUAGCCGGACUGAGAGGUUGACCGGCCACACUGGGACUGAGACACUGCCCAGACUCCUACGGGAGGCUGCAGUCGAGAAUCAUCCGCAAUGGGCGAAAGCCUGACGGUGCGACGCCGCGUGGAGGAUGAAGGCCUUCGGGUUGUAAACUCCUGUCACGUGAUGAGAAAGGCUAGAGGUUAAUACCCUCGUGUCUGACAAUUCAUGAGAGGAAGUCACGGCUAACUCUGUGCCAGCAGCCGCGGUAAUACG